UACAGAGGGUGCAAGCGUUGUUCGGAAUCAUUGGGCGUAAAGGGCGCGUAGGUGGCCCGGUCAGUUCGUGGUGAAAGCGCGGGGCUCAACCCUGCGUCGGCCAUGAAUACUGCCGCGGCUGGAGCACUGUAGAGGCAGGCGGAAUUCCGGGUGUAGCGGUGGAAUGCGUAGAGAUCCGGAAGAACACCGGUGGCGAAGGCGGCCUGCUGGGCAGUUGCUGACACUGAGGCGCGACAGCGUGGGGAGCAAACAGG
rnacentral:rRNA from 1 species